rnacentral:rRNA from 1 species
GACGAACGCUGGCGGCGUGCCUAAUACAUGCAAGUCGUGCGGACCUUUUAAAAGCUUGCUUUUAAAAGGUUAGCGGCGGACGGGUGAGUAACACGUGGGCAACCUGCCUGUAAGACUGGGAUAACGCCGGGAAACCGGGGCUAAUACCAGAUCGUUUUUUCCUCCGCAUGGAGGAAAAAGGAAAGGCGGCUUCGGCUGCCACUUACAGAUGGGCCCGCGGCGCAUUAGCUAGUUGGCGGGGUAACGGCCCACCAAGGCAACGAUGCGUAGCCGACCUGAGAUGGUGAUCGGCCACAGUGGGACUGAGACACGGCCCAAACUCCUACGGGAGGCAGCAGUAGGGAAUCUUCCGCAAUGGACGAAAGUCUGACGGAGCAACGCCGCGUGAGGGAAGAAGGCCUUCGGGUCGUAAAACUCUGUUGCCGGGGAAGAACAAGUGCCGUUCGAACAGGGCGGCGCCUUGACGGUACCCGGCCAGAAAGCCACGGCUAACUACGUG